UACGUAGGGUGCAAGCGUUUGUCCGGAAUUAUUGGGCGUAAAGAGCUCGUAGGCGGUCUGUCGCGUCUGCUGUGAAAACUCGGGGCUUAACCCCGGGCCUGCAGUGGGUACGGGCAGACUAGAGUGCGGUAGGGGGAGACUGGAUUCCUGGUGUAGCGGUGAAAUGCGCAGAUAUCAGGAGGAACACCGAUGGCGAAGGCGGGUUGCUGGGCCGACACUGACGUGAUGCGCGAAAGCCCAGGGGAGCGAACGGGG
rnacentral:rRNA from 1 species